rnacentral:rRNA from 1 species
CCAGACUCCUACGGGAGGCAGCAGUGAGGAAUAUUGGUCAAUGGUCGGGAGACUGAACCAGCCAAGCCGCGUGAGGGAGGAAGGUACAGAGUAUCGUAAACCUCUUUUGUCAGGGAACAAAGACUGGGACGCGUCCCCGGAUGAGUGUACCUGAAGAAAAAGCAUCGGCUAACUCCAUGCCAGCAGCCGCGGUAAUACGGAGGAUGCGAGCGUUAUCCGGAUUUAUUGGGUUUAAAGGGUGCGUAGGCGGAAUGCCAAGUCAGCGGUAAAAUCGCGGGGCUCAACCUCGCUCCGCCGUUGAAACUGUGUCCCUUGAGUGCGCGAAGGGUAGGCGGAAUGCGUGGUGUAGCGGUGAAAUGCUUAGAUAUUGCGCAGAACUCCGAUUGCGAAGGCAGCAUACCGGCGGCGAUCUGACGCUGAGGCACGAAAGCGUGGGUAUCGAACAGGAUUAGAUACCCCCGUAUU